GCAAGUCGAACGGAAACAUGUCUAGCUUGCUAGAUGAUGUCGCGUGGCGGGCGGGUGAGUAAUACUUAGGAACAUGUCUUUGGGUGGGGGAUAACUAUUGGAAACGAUAGCUAAUACCGCAUAAUGUCUUUGGACCAAAGGGGGCUUCGGCUCCCGCCCAGAGAGUGGCCUAAGCGAGAUUAGCUUGUUGGUGAGGUAAAGGCUCACCAAGGCGACGAUCCCUAGCUGGUCUGAGAGGAUGAUC
rnacentral:rRNA from 1 species